AAGACCUUGCACUUUUGGAGCGGCCGAUGUCUGAUUAGCUAGUUGGUGGGGUAAUGGCCUACCAAAGCUUCGAUCAGUAGCUGGUCUAAGAGGACGGCCAGCCACACUGGGACUGAGACACGGCCCAGACUCCUACGGGAGGCAGCAGUGGGGAAUUUUGGACAAUGGGCGCAAGCCUGAUCCAGCCAUGCCGCGUGAGUGAAGAAGGCCUUCGGGUUGUAAAGCUCUUUCAGCCGGGAAGAAAAGGUUGCGACUAAUAAUCGCAAUUCAUGACGGUACCGAAAGAAGAAGCACCGGCUAACUACGUGCCAGCAGCCGCGGUAAUACGUAGGGUGCGAGCGUUAAUCGGAAUUACUGGGCGUAAAGGGUGCGCAGGCGGUUUUGUAAGUCAGAUGUGAAAUCCCCGGGCUUAACCUGGGAACU
rnacentral:rRNA from 1 species